rnacentral:tRNA from 1 species
GGAAGGGUACCGAAGCGGUCAUAACGGAGCGGUCUCGAAAACCGUUAGGGCUUUUUAAGCCCACGUGGGUUCGAAUCCCACCCCUUCCG